rnacentral:rRNA from 1 species
UGGGGAAUAUUGCACAAUGGGCGCAAGCCUGAUGCAGCGACGCCGCGUGAGGGAUGACGGCCUUCGGGUUGUAAACCUCUUUCAGUAGGGACGAAGCGCAAGUGACGGUACCUAUAGAAGAAGGACCGGCCAACUACGUGCCAGCAGCCGCGGUAAUACGUAGGGUCCGAGCGUUGUCCGGAAUUACUGGGCGUAAAGAGCUCGUAGGUGGUUUGUCGCGUUGUUCGUGAAAACUCACAGCUUAACUGUGGGCGUGCGGGCGAUACGGGCAGACUGGAGUACUGCAGGGGAGACUGGAAUUCCUGGUGUAGCGGUGGAAUGCGCAGAUAUCAGGAGGAACACCGGUGGCGAAGGCGGGUCUCUGGGCAGUAACUGACGCUGAGGAGCGAAAGCGUGGGGAGCGAACAGGAUUAGAUACCCUGGUAGUCCACGCCGUAAACGGUGGGUACUAGGUGUGGGUUUCCUUCCUUGGGAUCCGUGCCGUAGCUAACGCAUUAAGUACCCCGCCUGGGGAGUACGGCCGCAAGGCUAAACUUAAAGGAAUUGACGGGGGUCAUAGCUGUUUCCU